UCAUGAGGGUCGAAUGAUAAAUGAUGCCGAAAAUGGAGUCGCAAAACAAACUUGUGUAAUGAAAAUAGUUGAAGUCAACCAAACUCCCCAUCUAUGCACUUUCGCCGACAGAGACAUUGCAAUUGGCGAGGAACUCCGAUAUGAUUAUGGAGUACCAACACUUCCAUGGAUUAAAGAAAUGCACGGAACAAAAAAGGGCAACACAAUGACUACUAGAUCUACGGACAGCCAGGAACCAGGACAAACAACAUCCGUACACACGGAAGAAGUCGAUGAGACGGUUUGUAAUAUUUCACUAUGUCGAAGCUACUAAGGCGUAUUUUCUGGUUUGGUUUAGUCUUCAGUGAAAUGGGCGUAAUUUUGCCUUAAAUUAUAUUGUGCCAAUAUUUAUUCCGGGUGAUGCUAAUUGGUA